AGCGAACCGGGAAGAGCUCAAAUUUGUAAUCUGGCGCCCCUCGGGCUCAGAGUUGUAAUCUACAGAGGCGUUUUCCGUGCCGGCCCGUGCCCAACUUUGCUUGGAACAGUGAGAUCAAAGAGGGUGAAAAUCCCGUACUUGACACGACCGCCGGUGCUAUGUGAUACGUCUUCUAAGAGUCGAGUUGUUUGGGAAUGCAGCUCAAAACGGGUGGUAAAUUCCAUCUAAGGCUAAAUAUUGGCGAGAGACCGAUAGCGAACAAGUACCGUGAGGGAAAGAUGAAAAGCACUUUGGAAAGAGAGUUAAACAGCACGUGAAAUUGUUGAAAGGGAAACGAUUGAAGUCAGUCGUGUCCGAGGGGUUCAGCCGGUCCUGCCGGUGCAUUCCUAUCGGACGGGUCAACAUCGGUUUUGUCCGGCGGACAAGGGCAUGGGGAAAGUGGCACCUUCGGGUGUGUUAUAGCCCCGUGUCGCAUACGUCGGACGAGACCGAGGAACGCAGCUCGCCUCACGGCCGGGGUUCGCCCACGUACGAGCUAGG
rnacentral:rRNA from 1 species